GUCAUUAUAAAAUAUUGUAGCCGAAGAAGGCCAUGAUUUUGGUGACAUUUUGUGCCGCCUUUUUCAGUUUUGUGGAAAGGAUUACACUAAUAUUGGAAUUUUUAUUUUUAGCGCCACAUUAGUUGACAUUAGCGGCUGCACUGUUUCAACGCUUCAUCAAAUUCUGUCAGAUGUCAAUAAUUUUUUCGUUUGUACUGGUACGUUUUCCCUCACUUUGUGCGUUAAUUGACUUGUCUUGUUUUCAUUUUUGCUGUCUUCCCCUUUGUUAGAACUUUAAUAAGUGUCUCAAAAAACAGUUUUUAUCAAAACUACAGAUCAUUGUGGAAUAAUCUCAGUUCUUUGGCGCAAUCAUCAUGCCUAUUACCGUAAUGGGGUGUUAAAUGAGGAUGGGGAUGGAGUGUACUACUCUGUGGAGGCGUCUAAAAACGAGUAUCUAGUGAAAUGUUCUGUUGUCAUUGAUGAAGAAUCUUUGAAGACGCUAUAUGGCGAAUUAUGGCCAGAUUUAACGACACUGGUAGCAUUUCUAAGUGAAAACCGACGGGGAGACCUCAAGUUAGUGAAGACGUUGUUGAAGAUUUAAGGAUGAGAAUGGAACAAAGUCCGAAUAAAGCUUUGUCAAAAAUCUUUACUGUCCGGAGUACCAUACAGCCCAUGUCAGAAAAUCGUAAAAGAGAAGUUACAUAUGCAUCCAUACAAGAUUUUGUUGGUUCAGGAGCUGCAACCAGCUGAUUUUCCUUGCCGCGUUGGGUAUUGUAGUUGGUUUCAAGCUGAUAUGGACGAUAACGGGAUUCUCGAUUUGUCGUUCUUUUCUGAUGAAGCCUGGUUUCAUCUGUUAGGCUAUUAUGUCAACUGACAGAACUUCAGAAUUUGGUGUAUAGAAAAUACUCACGCUUUUGAAGAAACACCAUCACACGCAAUGAAGGUUGGUGUGUGGUUAGCUGUUUCCAGACGACGAUUCAUAGGCCUGAUACUUUUUCAAGUAAAUGAAUGUGAUCUAUUGAUAAACAAAAUUAGAUGUAGAAAGUGUAUGUAGGUACUGCAAUAAAGUUUUUUAUUUUCAGUAA